AACGAACGCUGGCGGCAGGCCUAACACAUGCAAGUCGAGCGAUGACUUCGGUUCUAGCGGCGGACGGGUGAGUAACGCGUGGGAAUGUGCCCUUCUCUACGGAAUAGCCCUGGGAAACUGGGAGUAAUACCGUAUACGCCCUAUUGGGGAAAGAUUUAUCGGAGAAGGAUCAGCCCGCGUUGGAUUAGGUAGUUGGUGGGGUAAUGGCCUACCAAGCCGACGAUCCAUAGCUGGUUUGAGAGGAUGAUCAGCCACACUGGGACUGAGACACGGCCCAGACUCCUACGGGAGGCAGCAGUGGGGAAUCUUAGACAAUGGGGGCAACCCUGAUCUAGCCAUGCCGCGUGAGUGAUGAAGGCCUUAGGGUUGUAAAGCUCUUUCAGCUGGGAAGAUAAUGACGGUACCAGCAGAAGAAGCCCCGGCUAACUCCGUG
rnacentral:rRNA from 1 species